rnacentral:lncRNA from 1 species
GGGCUCAUUGUUUGACCGUGUGAUAGAGUUAUGUUAGUGCAUAUAACUAGAAGAGAUUAUAAUUUGACAGUGUCCACAUAGGUGUGAACUCUGAAACUGAAGGGGAAGGAUAAAAAUUUCGCCUGUGAACUCGGUACUCUAAUGCAGUUUUCUAGGUCGGUAUCAAGGUAGAAUUUUUUAACUACAUUUGCAUUUGACCUCC